UUUGUAUUAAUAGGCCUUUGUGCCUCUGGGGUGGUCUCGGCCAACCAGGAUGUAUGGAUGACAUUUAAACACAUCCAAAAGACAGACACACACACACACUGAAAAUAAAUGAUUAAACUAGUUUUUAAGAGUUUAGAUGUCAUUCAGGUUUCACUGUAAUCACAAUGUGGCAAAAUUGUAAAAAAUGAUGUGUAUGUAUGAACAAAAUGGAAAACAUUGAUUCAAUGAGAUGUAAAAUGUUAUAACACUUCUGCAAACAGAGGCUCAGAAACUCCAGGCUGGCGAAAAGAGGUCAACAAACCAUCAGCUGACUUUCACUCAUAUUUAUUAAGAAUUAUUAUUUGUGUUUAAAUGUUCUCUAUAUUAGACACAUACAUAGAGGUCCAAACAUCCCCCACAUUGCUGACAAGGGGACACACUGAGGGCAAGAUAGUAACACAAAAAAAGUGUACACUAAAACAAAAAAAGUAAACUUAUAAGAGUGUAAGGGAAGAUGAAAGAGUGCUAAAAUUCAAAAAAUGCACUUUAAAGAUGCUUGAUAUAUUCAAAGAAAAGGCUCUGAAAAUUUUAAAAAUUACAAAAUAAACAGAGGGGAGGAGCUUUUAAUUCUAAAAAAUUAAAUUGAGCUCAGAGAAGAAAACAUUUAUUUUACACAAGUCAUGCCUGAAGAAGACACAGAAAGCUGUCGAAACAUCGCGAUAAAAGGCUUGUGUACUUGUAUAUAGUUUAAAAUCUCAUAUUUUAGGCAAAAACAAAUAGUUUAAAGUCAAUGAUGGAUUAUUUUAUUACAAACACACAGCUUUUUGCUUCACAUGACGUUAAUUGAUGGACUGGAGUCAUGUGGAUUACUUUUGGAUUAUUGUGAUGGUCAUGUGGAUUAAUAUGUGUUGUAAAAUAAAACAAAGGGGUGCUAAAAACACAAAUAAGUGUGUGAAAGUGAAAAAGAAAUAAAUGGGUCUGUGAA